GUAGGGAAUCUUGCGCAAUGGGCGAAAGCCUGACGCAGCCAUGCCGCGUGAAUGAUGAAGGUCUUAGGAUUGUAAAAUUCUUUCACCGGGGACGAUAAUGACGGUACCCGGAGAAGAAGCCCCGGCUAACUUCGUGCCAGCAGCCGCGGUAAUACGAAGGGGGCUAGCGUUGCUCGGAAUUACUGGGCGUAAAGGGAGCGUAGGCGGAUAGUUUAGUCAGAGGUGAAAGCCCAGGGCUCAACCUUGGAAUUGCCUUUGAUACUGGCUAUCUUGAGUAUGGAAGAGGUAUGUGGAACUCCGAGUGUAGAGGUGAAAUUCGUAGAUAUUCGGAAGAACACCAGUGGCGAAGGCGACUCACUGGCCCAAUACUGACGCUGAGGCGCGAAAGCGUGGGGAGCAAACAGGAUUAGAUACCCCGGUAGUCC
rnacentral:rRNA from 1 species